rnacentral:tRNA from 1 species
AUCUAGCUGGCUCAGUAGGUGGAGCAUUUGACUCUUGAUCUCAGGGUCAUGAGUUCGAGCCCCAUGCUGCAUG